rnacentral:rRNA from 1 species
UCCUACGGGUGGCUGCAGUGGGGAAUCUUAGACAAUGGGGGAAACCCUGAUCUAGCCAUGCCGCGUGAGCGAUGAAGGCCUUAGGGUUGUAAAGCUCUUUCAGCUGGGAAGAUAAUGACGGUACCAGCAGAAGAAGCCCCGGCUAACUCCGUGCCAGCAGCCGCGGUAAUACGGAGGGGGCUAGCGUUGUUCGGAAUUACUGGGCGUAAAGCGCACGUAGGCGGACUGGAAAGUUGGGGGUGAAAUCCCGGGGCUCAACCCCGGAACUGCCUUCAAAACUCCCAGUCUGGAGUUCGAGAGAGGUGAGUGGAAUUCCGAGUGUAGAGGUGAAAUUCGUAGAUAUUCGGAGGAACACCAGUGGCGAAGGCGGCUCACUGGCUCGAUACUGACGCUGAGGUGCGAAAGCGUGGGGAGCAAACAGGAUUAGAUACCCUUGUAGUCCU